rnacentral:rRNA from 1 species
GACGAACGCUGGCGGCGUGCUUAACACAUGCAAGUCGAGCGAUGAAGCCCAGCUUGCUGGGUGGAUUAGUGGCGAACGGGUGAGUAACACGUGAGUAACCUGCCCUGGACUCUGGGAUAACCCCGAGAAAUCGGAGCUAAUACCGGAUAGGACCUUUCCCCGCAUGGGGCGUGGUGGAAACCGUUUCGGUUUGGGAUGGACUCGCGGCCUAUCAGCUUGUUGGUGAGGUAAUGGCUCACCAAGGCGUCGACGGGUAGCCGGCCUGAGAGGGUGACCGGCCACACUGGGACUGAGACACGGCCCAGACUCCUACGGGAGGCAGCAGUGGGGAAUAUUGCACAAUGGGCGCAAGCCUGAUGCAGCAACGCCGCGUGCGGGAUGACGGCCUUCGGGUUGUAAACCGCUUUUAGUAGGGAAGAAGGGCUUCGGCUUGACGGUACCUGCAGAAAAAGGACCGGCUAACUACGUGCCAGCCGCCGCCGUAAUAC